rnacentral:rRNA from 1 species
UACGUAGGGUGCGAGCGUUGUCCGGAAUUAUUGGGCGUAAAGAGCUCGUAGGUGGUCUGUCACGUCGGAUGUGAAAACUCGGGGCUCAACCCCGAGCCUGCAUUCGAUACGGGCAGACUAGAGUUCGGUAGGGGAGACUGGAAUUCCUGGUGUAGCGGUGAAAUGCGCAGAUAUCAGGAGGAACACCGGUGGCGAAGGCGGGUCUCUGGGCCGAUACUGACACUGAGGAGCGAAAGCGUGGGGAGCGAACAGG